AUGGUAUGCAGAGGGAGGUGUGACACAGAAGCACAGGAGAAGAACCAUCAGAGACACAAGCAGUGACUAGGCUUACAUUGUCACAAGCAAAGGAACACCUGGGACCCGAAGAGCAGAAGUUUCUCCCCGGACCCUCUGAAUGGGCAGAAGGACUGCAGACCACUUACUUUUGAACGUCUUGCUUGCAGAACCGUAAAUAACCACUCAUAAGCUUGGGUUGUGAAAUUCUCAGAGGCAAGCUCAUCACCAGAUGUGGCCCACAGAGAGAAGAGCCCCAGCCUGGCUCUGAGUCCACAUGCAAGGAAGGGCGACCAUGCCCAGAAGAGGAGACGAAUCUCCAUUGUGACGUUGCUAGAAGAUGCUUGGUGGGACAAUGUAGAAGGUUUCCUCCCUGGUUUCAGAGCAGGCUGCUGCAGGUUACCUCCCUCCCCCAGCUUCCACCUGCCUUUAGCAAGGGACACCUUCCAUGAUAAACCAGGCAGGCCUGGCAUUUUCCACAAUCCCCACCUGAGUCUUCUGAUAGACCUGAGGAGAGGCAAAGUUCCUCAUAGACGGAUGCCGGGAACACACAAUGCAUGGGGAUGCCAUGGAGGACGGCAGAGAGGACUGAGGCCUUCAGCUCCCCUGAAGCAACAUUUACUUGACAUUGUAAACCGAGGGAUGCACACUGGGGAUGGGACUCUGACCCUCUGUGAGAACAGCCCAGGAACUGUGUGUUGCAUUGCGGAAACCCUCUGAAGGGUCAGCACUGUCGAAACAAAACAAAGUCAAAAUGAAGACCCCAGGCACCCAGUUUAAUGCAAGCUGGAGUUCAGAUGUUGUCUCAGAUAUGAUUCUUAUUCAGCCAGUCAGUAUGUGUUUCCUGAAAUCUCACUGGUGUCACAGAGAGACAGCAGAGUGAUAUGCGUUGGCGGCCGGAUGACUUGAAAUGGCACUGCAAACACAAGAUGAUUUUACUUACGAAAUAUGGAGUUUUCAUAAAAUAGUUUGGGAUGAAGGAGACGGAGAAAAAGAACAAUGGGAAACCCCAGAAGACAAAACCUUUAAAAGUUCUUACGUGCUUGGUAUGCCUCUCCCUACUAAAUGUAAAAGAAAUCCCCCCAAAUAAAUAGUUUAAGAAAGUUUUGUAAACAGCAACUUAAUAAAAUUUACCCUAAUAAAGCUUUAUCAUCUGGUUUCAACAACAAUCCAA
rnacentral:lncRNA from 1 species